rnacentral:rRNA from 1 species
GUACUUACUCCUACGGGAGGCAGCAGUGGGGAAUAUUGCACAAUGGGCGGAAGCCUGAUGCAGCGACGCCGCGUGAGGGAUGACGGCCUUCGGGUUGUAAACCUCUUUCAGCAGGGACGAAGCGUAAGUGACGGUACCUGCAGAAGAAGCACCGGCUAACUAUGUGCCAGCAGCCGCGGUAAUACGUAGGGUGCGAGCGUUGUCCGGAAUUACUGGGCGUAAAGAGCUCGUAGGCGGUUUGUCACGUCGUCUGUGAAAUCCUAGGGCUUAACCCUGGACGUGCAGGCGAUACGGGCUGACUUGAGUACUACAGGGGAGACUGGAAUUCCUGGUGUAGCGGUGGAAUGCGCAGAUAUCAGGAGGAACACCGGUGGCGAAGGCAGGUCUCUGGGCAGUAACUGACGCUGAGGAGCGAAAGCAUGGGUAGCGAACAGGAUUAGAAACCCCGGUAGUCCAGGCAU